rnacentral:misc_RNA from 1 species
UGUGGGAGUGAGCCUGCUCGCGAUAGCGAUAGGUCAGUCAACGUUGAAGUGACUGAUCCACCGCUAUCGCGAGCAGGCUCACUCCCACA